GUUUUGGUAAUUUAAUUAAAAAUACUGGUCUUGUAAACCAAAAUUAAGGCAAUCUUCCAAAACU
rnacentral:tRNA from 2 species